UACAGAGGGUGCGAGCGUUGUCCGGAAUCACUGGGCGUAAAGGGCGCGUAGGCGGAUUUGCAAGUCCGGGGUGAAAUCCCACAGCUCAACUGUGGAACUGCCUCGGAUACUGUGAGUCUCGAGGGUGGUAGGGGUAUGCGGAACUAUCGGUGGAGCGGUGAAAUGCGUUGAUAUCGAUAGGAACUCCGGUGGCGAAGGCAGCUCGCUGGGACGUAACUGACGCUGAGACGCGAAAGCGUGGGGAGCAAACAGG
rnacentral:rRNA from 1 species